rnacentral:rRNA from 1 species
GACGAACGCUGGCGGCGUGCUUAACACGUGCAAGUCGAACGGAAAGGCCCUGCUUUUGUGGGGUGCUCGAGUGGCGAACGGGUGAGUAACACGUGAGUAACCUGCCCUUGACUUUGGGAUAACUUCAGGAAACUGGGGCUAAUACCGGAUAGGAGCUCCUGCUGCAUGGUGGGGGUUGGAAAGUUUCGGCGGUUGGGGAUGGACUCGCGGCCUAUCGGCUUGUUGGUGGGGUAGUGGCUUACCAAGGCUUUGACGGGUAGCCGGCCUGAGAGGGUGACCGGCCACAUUGGGACUGAGAUACGGCCCAGACUACUACGGGAGGCAGCAGUGGGGAAUAUUGCACAAUGGGCGGAAGCCUGAUGCAGCAACGCCGCGUGCGGGAUGACGGCCUUCGCGUUGUAAACCGCUUUCGCCUGUGACGAAGCGUGAGUGACGGUAAUGGGUAAAGAAGCACCGGCUAACUACGUG